rnacentral:rRNA from 1 species
CCCUUAGAUGUUCUGGGCCGCACGCGCGCUACACUGAAGGGAUCAGCGUGUUUUCCCUUCCCGAGAGGGACGGGUAACCCGCUGAACCCCCUUCGUGGUAGGGAUCGGAGCUUGCAAUUGUUCUCCGUGAACCAGGAAUUCCCAGUAAGCGCAAGUCAUAAGCUUGCGUUGAUUACGUCCCUGCCCUCUGUACACACCGCCCGUCGCUACUACCGAUUGAACGUUUUAGUGAGGUAUUUGGACUGGGCCUUGGGAGGUUUCGGCCUCCCUUGUUGCUCGGAAAGACUCCCAAACUUGAGCGUUUAGAGGAAGUAAAAGUCGUAACA